AGUUGGCGCAGACUAAUGUGUUCCGAUACGAGAUCGACACUAGCAAACAGUUCGAGGUGGAUCUGGAAACAGAACUCAGCACUUUCAACAAGAGUGACAGCUUCGAGCACUUCGUGGUGAUAGGGAGUGGGGAGAACUGCAGACGGGUGAUGGACUGUGCCUCCCACUACAACAUGUUCACGUCCACCUUCACAUGGAUACUCGCUUGUCCCGAUGCGGACCUGGAUGUUCUGAUGGCCAACCACAACAUCACUCUGGGCACGAUCAUUCUGUUCAAGCCUGAACAACACAUCUUCUCCUAUUCAGACG